UCUUUGUCUGAUGCCUGGUAGAUGGCGGCUGCUGUGUUUGUUCAGGCAGCUGGACAAUCUAUGGGGAAUAAUCGUGGGAUGGACACCACUUUCCAUGUAGUGUGGUAGUCCUGAAGGGUGGUGGCCAGUUUGUUCUUGCAGUCUAAGUUGCAGUGGUUGUGGUCACCAUGUGGUCAUGUGGUGGUGUCUAAUGGGGUCUGUGAUAGAAUCUCCCAGUGGUGGAGAUGUAUGUUGGGUAUGUUAUACUCCGGCAACCUGUCUGAUGUCAGCUGGGAUCGGCUCCAGCUUCCCCUGCGACCCUCAAAGGAUAAACGAUGGAUGGAUAAAGAAUGGAUGUAUGGUGGUUGAGUUUCCCCUCAGCGACGGCAACAGGAGGAGACACGGAGAGACAAAGAGGCGCAGUGUGAUACUGGAGAUAGUCCGACCGAUUCAAGGCCACACAAACCUUCAGGGCUGGGAAAUCGACAAGCAUCACCAUAGCAACUCCCUCAGGGAACUGCGGCUCAGUCCACAGAGUGGAUCUGACUCCCGAUCAGCCACCCAGCCGCGUCUCCUGUGGUGUGGGCGUCGAGGUCCUGUGACAGGGUUAGCAUGAAUCACGGACGAUCACGGGCCUGUUGUGAUUUAUCUGUGUCGGCUGUGAGCUCUCAGCCCCUUGGCAUGGGUGGCACACUGCUCCAUUAUUCAUCAGCCAGAUGACUGGCUGUGGCACGAUGCCGACCCAAGAGUUCCAACCCACCUGGACGUGUUCUCCAGAGUGCUGCGGACUUCGCUCAUCUGCUCCUUCCCAAAAUACACCACUGUCAGAUGAACUCGGCCGUCCUGACGCACGCACACUUCCCUGUACGUAUACAAACACAAAGAGGAAGGGACAAUACAGAUGAAAGUGUUCUCAAAGUGAGCAGGGGACAUUACAGGAAGGAAGAAAACUGGGAACAAAUGAGGUUUUAAACAGGAGGCCUUCAGAGGAUUUAAUCUUUCAAAAAAGAACAACUUGCAUUAUCUAUUGAUUAAUAAUUUAAAGUUUCAGUCACAUCUUAAAAAAAGUCCAAUAUUGUUUUUUUACCUCAUCAUAAAUUCAUUAAAAAGGUACUGCUUUGUAUCUUGAUUGUGAUGUGCCUUUUUUUCACUAUUUCCUGACAUUUUUAAAUUAAAGGAAUAGUUAAUCAAUCAAAAAAAAAGCAUUCAGCCCUGACUCUCCUCAUUCUGACUCUGUGUACAGGGAGAGAUUGUCAUGAGUACAGAGACCAGGUGGCAGAUGCCUGUGAGCGCUUUGAUGGAGAAGUGUCAAAUACAUCACACGCAUGCUGAAGUAUAAUUCACCUCCUCUGCUCAGGAGACUCGAGACUCACACACAUUUGUCAGAAUGUUGCCCAGAAGCACUUGAGAGAAAUUAUCUUGUAAAACUAGAUGAACACAAGAUGUUUUAAAAAAUGACUGAGUACGUGCCGAGGAUACUGAGUAGUCAUGAAUAAUAUUUUUACUGUAGUUAAAGAUGCUGUGUUGAAGGUUCUCUCUAUUUUCAGACCUAAAUUGAUUUUUUUUCAGGAGGGUUUCAAUGAAGCAUUCUUCAUUUUGUCAUUCAGACCAUGGAAUAUAAAAAAAAAACCCUCUAAUAAUUUGAUCAUGUGUUGACAGUGAGUCUAAACUCAAUGUUUGCUGUUUGUUUGUGCUUGUGUGAAUUCACAUUUUAUCUGUGUAUCCUGCACUGGGGAGGCAUUUCACAGUGAAUCAAAAAUGCAAUUAUUUUCGAGCAUGAAUGUGAGUAAAGAACAUUUGAUACGUCCCUCACCA